rnacentral:rRNA from 1 species
GGUUAAGCGACUAAGCGUACACGGUGGAUGCCCUGGCAGUCAGAGGCGAUGAAGGACGUGCUAAUCUGCGAAAAGCGUCGGUAAGGUGAUAUGAACCGUUAUAGCCGGCGAUGUCCGAAUGGGGAAACCCAGUGCAAUUCGUUGCACUAUCGUUAACUGAAUACAUAGGUUAACGAGGCGAACCGGGGGAACUGAAACAUCUAAGUACCCCGAGGAAAAGAAAUCAACCGAGAUUCCCCCAGUAGCGGCGAGCGAACGGGGAGCAGCCCGGAGUCUGAAUCAGCUUGUGUGUUAGUGGAAGCGUCUGGAAAGUCGCAGGGUACAGGGUGAUACUCCCGUACACUAAAACACACAGGAUGAGCACUCGAAGAGUAGGGCGGGACACGUGGUAUCCUGUCUGAAUAUGGGGGGACCAUCCUCCAAGGCUAAAUACUCCUGACUGACCGAUAGUGAACCAGUACCGUGAGGGAAAGGCGAAAAGAACCCCGGCGAGGGGAGUGAAAAAGAACCUGAAACCGUGUACGUACAAGCAGUAGGAGCCUCUUUAUGGGGUGACUGCGUACCUUUUGUAUAAUGGGUCAGCGACUUAUAUUCUGUAGCAAGGUUAACCGUAUAGGGGAGCCGCAGGGAAACCGAGUCUUAACUGGGCGUUAAGUUGCAGGGUAUAGACCCGAAACCCGGUGAUCUAGCCAUGGGCAGGUUGAAGGUUGGGUAACACUAACUGGAGGACCGAACCGACUAAUGUUGAAAAAUUAGCGGAUGACUUGUGGCUGGGGGUGAAAGGCCAAUCAAACCGGGAGAUAGCUGGUUCUCCCCGAAAGCUAUUUAGGUAGCGCCUCGUGAACUCAUCUUCGGGGGUAGAGCACUGUUUCGGCUAGGGGGUCAUCCCGACUUACCAACCCGAUGCAAACUACGAAUACCGAAGAAUGUUAUCACGGGAGACACACGGCGGGUGCUAACGUCCGUCGUGAAGAGGGAAACAACCCAGACCGCCAGCUAAGGUCCCAAAGUCAUGGUUAAGUGGGAAACGAUGUGGGAAGGCCCAGACAGCCAGGAUGUUGGCUUAGAAGCAGCCAUCAUUUAAAGAAAGCGUAAUAGCUCACUGGUCGAGUCGGCCUGCGCGGAAGAUGUAACGGGGCUAAACCAUGCACCGAAGCUGCGGCAGCGACACUAUGUGUUGUUGGGUAGGGGAGCGUUCUGUAAGCCGUUGAAGGUGGCCUGUGAGGGUUGCUGGAGGUAUCAGAAGUGCGAAUGCUGACAUAAGUAACGAUAAUGCGGGUGAAAAACCCGCACGCCGGAAGACCAAGGGUUCCUGUCCAACGUUAAUCGGGGCAGGGUGAGUCGACCCCUAAGGCGAGGCCGAAAGGCGUAGUCGAUGGGAAACAGGUUAAUAUUCCUGUACUCGGUGUUACUGCGAAGGGGGGACGGAGAAGGCUAUGUUGGCCGGGCGACGGUUGUCCCGGUUUAAGCAUGUAGGCGGAUGUUCCAGGUAAAUCCGGAACGUUAUUAACGCUGAGGUGUGAUGACGAGGCACUACGGUGCUGAAGUGACAAAUGCCCUGCUUCCAGGAAAAGCCUCUAAGCAUCAGGUAACAUCAAAUCGUACCCCAAACCGACACAGGUGGUCAGGUAGAGAAUACCAAGGCGCUUGAGAGAACUCGGGUGAAGGAACUAGGCAAAAUGGUGCCGUAACUUCGGGAGAAGGCACGCUGAUAUGUAGGUGAAGUGACUUGCUCAUGGAGCUGAAAUCAGUCGAAGAUACCAGCUGGCUGCAACUGUUUAUUAAAAACACAGCACUGUGCAAACACGAAAGUGGACGUAUACGGUGUGACGCCUGCCCGGUGCCGGAAGGUUAAUUGAUGGGGUUAUCCGUAAGGAGAAGCUCUUGAUCGAAGCCCCGGUAAACGGCGGCCGUAACUAUAACGGUCCUAAGGUAGCGAAAUUCCUUGUCGGGUAAGUUCCGACCUGCACGAAUGGCGUAAUGAUGGCCAGGCUGUCUCCACCCGAGACUCAGUGAAAUUGAACUCGCUGUGAAGAUGCAGUGUACCCGCGGCAAGACGGAAAGACCCCGUGAACCUUUACUAUAGCUUGACACUGAACACUGGUCCUUGAUGUGUAGGAUAGGUGGGAGGCUUUGAAGUGUGGACGCCAGUCUGCAUGGAGCCAUCCUUGAAAUACCACCCUUUAAUGGCUGGUGUUCUAACGUGGGCCCGUUAUCCGGGUUGCGGACAGUGUCUGGUGGGUAGUUUGACUGGGGCGGUCUCCUCCUAAAGAGUAACGGAGGAGCACGAAGGUCAGCUAAUCCUGGUCGGACAUCAGGAGGUUAGUGCAAUGGCAUAAGCUGGCUUGACUGCGAGCGUGACGGCGCGAGCAGGUGCGAAAGCAGGUCAUAGUGAUCCGGUGGUUCUGAAUGGAAGGGCCAUCGCUCAACGGAUAAAAGGUACUCCGGGGAUAACAGGCUGAUACCGCCCAAGAGUUCAUAUCGACGGCGGUGUUUGGCACCUCGAUGUCGGCUCAUCACAUCCUGGGGCUGAAGUAGGUCCCAAGGGUAUGGCUGUUCGCCAUUUAAAGUGGUACGCGAGCUGGGUUUAGAACGUCGUGAGACAGUUCGGUCCCUAUCUGCCGUGGGCGCUGGAGAAUUGAGGGGGGCUGCUCCUAGUACGAGAGGACCGGAGUGGACGCAUCACUGGUGUUCGGGUUGUCAUGCCAAUGGCAUUGCCCGGUAGCUAAAUGCGGAAGAGAUAAGUGCUGAAAGCAUCUAAGCACGAAACUUGCCCCGAGAUGAGUUCUCCCUGACCCUUUAAGGGUCCUGAAGGAACGUUGAAGACGACGACGUUGAUAGGCCGGGUGUGUAAGCGCAGCGAUGCGUUGAGCUAACCGGUACUAAUGAACCGUGAGGCUUAACCUUAC